GGGAGGUCUCUGUGAAGAGAAGAGGUGCCUGCCCCAGAGCCUGCCCUGUCCCCUCUGUGGUUCCACAUCCGUGCCUCUGAGGACCCUGGACUCCCAAAGCGAGGCCCAAAGGAUAUAUACCCAGUACCAGUGGAAUUGCUGGAUCAUAGAAAACUGGUUUUCUGAGGAACCUCCAUACUGUUUUCCAUAGUGAUGCUGCAAGAGAUCUCCUACCAAAGCUGAUAUAUCUCAGUGGGACAUGCAUUAACUCAGUCACCUUUCCAGGUAAGAGGGAGUAAUUAACUGUGCCAAGAUGUUCCAAAUGGCUCUUUGUGGAGGUCAGGGCACCUCCAGGGGAUGCAUGACACAUUUCAACCUUAGAUACUUGUUUUUUGCAUGUGAAAUGCUUGGAUGCCUUGGUAUUGGGAGCUGAUCAUUUGCCUUUACUAAAUGGCCACCCAGCUAAGAAGGGUGAGAGACUUCAAUCUGCUGCCCCUCUCAGUCACACCUCCUCAACAUGGGAUUUUAGAUAUUUAUGAGUCCCUAGGGUGGACCUUUAGACAGUAUUUCCCAGUGUCUCUUAUGAGAGAACAGUGCUCAAUGGAAGGAGACAGCCCUGCUUUUCAGGAAGUUGCGACUUAAAGAAUUCUAGCUCUUGGUGCCAUUAAGUGCCAUCAAUGACACCCAAUUUGUCAAUGACCAUCAGACUAGUUGUUUGUUACGUGGCCUCUCAUCAGUCAAGAGUCCGCGUCUGUGCACGCUGGAGGAGUUAAGAGGGCUGCUGGUGCUGGCUGGUAAAUUCUCCCAGUGGUCAGAUCCAACACACUCCUAAACCUUAGUUGUGGAUCAUGAGACGAUGUGGACCUGGGUGUCAGGAGAAUGGUGAGAGUGGGUGUUGGGGUGUCAGAUGACUGGAUGCGCCCUGCCCAUGCCAGGGAUGUCACACGGCAGGACUUCAGAGGAGACAGAGUGUGGGGAGAGAGAGUUGAACUGGAGAUGCAGAGAAGGAAAUGUUUCAUAUGGGGGAGAUGGAGUCCCAAGUGAGAGUUUCCAAAGAGAGCGUGGCUGAUAAUCGAGCCUUGGGGAAUAUCUACGUUUAGGUGUCAUGAGGCGGAGACAAGACAAUAGUGGAGACAGAUAAAAAGUCACAGAGGCAGGAGGAAGAUUGAGAAUGCAGUGCCAGAGAGAACAAUCAAUAGUUCAUUUACAAGGUGGAAGAACUAGUCAGCUGUCUAAAGUGUUUCCGAGAGAAUGAAGAAGACAGAAUCAAAGAUGAGCCACGGGCUGGAGUGACCAUUAGCAGGAACAAUGCUCCUCACUGUGGUCAAGGGCAGAGGUUAGGGGUGAAACCAGCUCAAGGCCCCAGGGCUGGGAGAGGGGCUAGGUGGUGCUGGUCCUUGGGGACACCACCUGCCACCGUCACAUCUCCUCCAGCAGAUGCAAUGAUUCUCUCCCUCCCUGGACAGACAUCGUUAGAGAAGAUUUAAUCAAGAAAGAGCAAUGGCAUAAUGGAGUCCGUCCAGAUGAGUGAGAUAAUGGCCUGACUCCUGCCCAGCCUGCUGACAUAAUUGGAUAUGCUGGAGACUCCUCUGCUCCUAUUAGGUUAACAAGCUGUGUUUGUCAGUGAGAUUGCAAACAGUACCUUCCCUCCAUUCUAUUCCCAGUCCUGCAGAUCUCCUGGGUUUUGAGAGAUGUUUCCUAAAUGAAGUGACUUUUUCUCUUUCCUCCCUGGUGGGUCCUGUAGACGGAUGUUGGUCAGGCUCUUUCCAUGUGGGGUGGGGGACACAGGGCACACAGAUCCUCCUGCCUGGCCCCACGGCAGAAUUACUUAGGCUUUCCCAGGGCUUGUCCCAGGAUGCAGGUGACGGCUGCUAUGCUUUGUGUGAAGCUGCGCGCAAGUGUCAGGUGACUGGAGAAGAGAGUAGAGUCAGAUAAGGAUGGUGGCCUCCCUGUUCCAGGCUGAUGGAGUGCAGUGUGGGGGCUGGAGCUCAUGCAGCCAUCUUGGAACAUGAGGAGGAUCAACUAUCGAAGACGCCAGGGAAGCAAGAUGGAGUAGUCUCCUGCCUUUAUAAAGGUGAACAAUGACGCCAGCCCAGGACUACAUUUCUCUAUGCUGUUUCGUGAGAGAGAAGGAAACUCCUGUCUUGUUUAAACUCCUGUGUUUGUGGUUUUCAGUGGCUCACAGCUGAUCUCACCUUAACCAAAAUGGCCAUAGCACGUGUAUUUCCUGACCCUCUGUGUGGUGCUGACUGGAGAAAGCAGCUUUCCUCCUGGCUGUGGCUCAGCCCUGUGCUCCUCAGAGCAGUGUGCUCAUGACCCACCUGAUGCUGACUGCUAGGCCUGGGACUCUGCAUUUCUGACAGGCUCCCAGGGGAUUCUGUGCUGCAGGUCCCAGUGCCACACGUGGAGUAGCAGAGGCUUGGAACUCACCUGCCUUCUGCAGUCCCAGCCCAGGCGUUCUCAUCUGUCCUACCCAGGACAUUUUCUGUCCAGCCCUGCCUGCAAGGGCAGUAUCCAGAGAAAAGCAAUCAGCAAAGAGGAUUCUAACAUAGACGUGCCUGGUUGGGAGUGAGUGCUCUGCAAUGAUUGUGAGUCCUGGAGGCCGCCCCGUGACUCUUCAGGUGCAAGUGACAGGUAAUAUAUUACUUCUCGUCACCUGGCUGCCCCUGUGAGCUUCACCUCACAGCAGUCUUCUUGUACCUGUAAGACAGGAAGCUGGGGUAUCAGUGGGGGUUACAUAUUAAAAGCCCAGCCAGGACCAGCAGAUGCAUUAGCAGUCUAUUCCUGCUUUUCCUAAUCUGGCAGGUGGGUUAUCAGGUUGCUCGCUUAAGAUCAGCUUCAUUUGUCCCUUCUGAUGCUAGGUUAGAAACUGGAGGCUGCGGCCCAGGAACCCUAAUUUUACUUGAAGAUGCCAAGCACUCUUCAAGACAGUGCAUCUGCCCACAAGCGGAAGGGCUUACUUUCCCCCACCUCCUUCUGUUCCUCCCUUUGGCUCCUGCACAGGCUCUUGCUGUAAACACUGAUGGUGAAGCUGCAGUCCUGGGCUGGACGGCCGGGCCUGGGGGAACUGUCACCCUGGCUUCCCUUUGGUUGGGGCCUGCAGUCGUCAGUGUCCUUUCCUCAUUACUCAGUGCCCUGCAUUGAGCUGGCCUGGGCCUCGCCUGGCUUCUGUGAUGCAUCCUCAGGCUUCUCUGCUUGUGCCUGUUCAGUCUUCCUGGCUUAAAGAUUUCUGCUGCUGUCCGAGCCAAACACUCCCACACAUCUUUUUUUUUUUUUUUUUUUUUUAAUGGAAUCAAGUUUUGACUUCAUGCCGACAGCAUAAUUUAUUAUUUUUAAUUUAAAAAAGUAGGACACCUCUAUGCAAAUAAACUAGAAAAUCUAGAAGAAAUGGAUAAAUUCCUGGACACAUACACCCUCCCAAGACUAAACCAGGAAGAAGUUGAAUCCCUGAAUAGACCAAUAACAGGCGCUGAAAUUGAGGCAAUAAUUAAUAGCCUACCAACCAAAAAAAGUCCGGGACCAGACGGAUUCACAGCCGAAUUCUACCAGAGGUACAAGGAGGAGCUGGUACCAUUCCUUCUGAAACUAUUCC